CCUACGGGUGGCUGCAGUGGGGAAUAUUGGACAAUGGGGGCAACCCUGAUCCAGCGACGCCGCGUGUGUGAAGAAGGCCUGCGGGUUGUAAAGCACUUUUAGUGGGGAGGAAGGUCUGCGACCUAACACGUCGUGGAAUUGACUUAACCCACAGAAAAAGCACCGGCUAACUCUGUGCCAGCAGCCGCGGUAAUACAGAGGGUGCUAGCGUGGAGCGGAGCGACUGGGCGUAAAGCGUGCAGAGGGAGUUGAAAGCCCCGGGCUCAACCUGGGAAUUGCAUUCGAGACUGCGAAGCUGGAGUGCGGAAGAGGGAAGUGGAAUUUCCGGUGUAGCGGUGAAAUGCGUAGAUAUCGGAAGGAACAUCAGUGGCGAAAGCGACUUCCUGGUCCAGCACUGACGCUCAGGCACGAAAGCGUGGGGAGCAAACAGGAUUAGAUACCCCAGUAGUC
rnacentral:rRNA from 1 species